GUUUUUGUGGAAGAGAGAGGAAGGAAAAGAACCAGUACAAAAAUGUCAAUAUUAAAAUAAGUUUUUAAACAAUGCUUAGGUAUUUUAUUGUAAUAGGCAAGAAACAGCCUGCUCACAACAGGGAGUUGACUCUCGUUUACACAUAAACACAGCUUCUCAGCUACUUUGCUGUACUUCAGGAAAAAUUGAAAAGAUGAAUACAGCUUCUAUUAGGCAGAAACUCCAGGAAAAUGGUAGUUACAGAUCUAGCAACUAGACUGGUGGAGUGUUAAUGAUUAGUUACUUUUUAGUGUAUAUUACUCUGACAAAAAAAAACCAUUUUCUCCAGGAUUAGUGGCUAAGGUAAGCAGCUGCUUUUUUAUCUUUUGAAAGUGUUAUUGAAAUUAUAAAACCAAACUCCAGAAGAACUGCAGAUUAAGUAGGUUUUUGUUGUUGUAAUUAUAUAUUGCAUUUCUCUAGCAAAUGCUUGUAGGCAAUAGAUGCAAUUGUAGUUUUACAGGUAUGUUGAAAGUGAAAUAUAGAGUGGUAUAGCUGAAAAAGGUAUAACAAAAGAUAUGCGCAAUAAAUGUGUUUUUUUCCAGCAUGCAAAAGGUAACACUUUUCCCCAAUCACUAUGUUCAUUCAGCAGUUUUCCUGUGGACAAAAUACAUUUUUACACAGUCAAAAGAAUAGCUAUUGAUCUGUUUGACAAAGAGUCUGUGGUUAUGUGCUAUCAUGGCCUUUAUCUCCCAUAGAAUAGAAGUAUUCCACUCAUGUAGGAAAAAGGGGGUUUUAUUUUCUUUAUUUUUGCACAAUAUAUGCUGUAGUUUUUGAAUCUCCAGUUCAGUGCCAGAUCCCUGUUUGGGGAAUGAGGGAUGGCUUGCCAUUUCUGCAGCUCUAACUUGCUUCAUCAGCAGAUUCGGAAGCAUCCACCAGAAGAAUCAUAUUACCAGAGGUCACUGAAGAGGCUGCUCCUGACAGUAUGUAUUAUAACAGAGAGUCAUCACUGUUGCAGCUGUAAUUUUUAUUAACAUUACUCACAACCUGUAAAUGCCAAGAGUAAUUCUGGUUCAAAACCUUUUCUCACUACCCUCUCCGCAACUGUUUCCCUCAUUUUCCUGCCAGCUUGCUUAUCUCCAGGGUUUCUUUGGAAUACUGACCUACUAAAUUAGAACAACAAACACAAGUAGAUUUAUUUAAGUUUGAAAGCCCUGUUAGCAGAGUCCUUUCAUUUUGUUGUGAAGUAACUACUUCUGCAUUUAAAGAGCAUCUUAAUAUAAUACUAUUCUGUUCAUCCCUUUUUAUCACAAUUACAAUUUUAUUUUCUAUAAAAUGCAGAGCUUUAUUUCAUUAAUUGUCAUUGCGUUUACAUACUCUACAGCACAAUGAAUGUUGUCUGAAGAUUUUGGUGUGUUUUUCUGCCUGGUGCUCAAAAUGCAUUCCUGUAAGCACUAAAAAAAAUGAAAAAAGGUUUUUUGCAUGUUCAUAUUUUCUUCCAAGUUGCAUAAAAAGUCUUGCUUUGCUAAGUGUAUUUUCACGGGUCGGGAAUAGCAAGGGAAAGGCUCUUACCUUAAAGUAGUAUGCCUCAAGCACUUUGAUCCUUACCAGCUGCUAGUUCUGGCACCCUACUCCCAGUUCAUCACUGUGUGAUACUCCCAGUUAUCACGGGUACCUCUACAUGGGUGCACUCCCCCUCCAGAGCAUCUCUGUCCUUCUGGGAAACCAGAGCAGAAGACAGGAUGGCAGAGAAGAGUCGGGCUAUGAAGUCGAGUGAUAGAGAGUGUUUGUUUGCACGGGUUAAGAAAGGACAAACACAAGGCACUGUAUGUACUGUGAAUUUGCUGAUAAAAAUUUGGGAAGACAUGUAGAUGCACUAAUACAAACCCAAACAAUAGACUGAUACCCCUCUAAAGAAUUCAGUAGCUUCACUGUGGUACUGUGAGAAUGUUAAUAAGCUGGCUAGAUUUUGGCAGAUCAAUGCAUAGGAAAGAACAAUAAUAUACAUCUCCUACUGCUGCCUAUGUGGAAAUACUGAAUGACAUUAGUGAACUUUAAAUCAAUGACAGAUUAAAGGUAAACCUCACAGGCGAGACAGCAAACUAUUCAGGAUUAGUAGGCACUCAGUGCCUCUCACCAAUGAUGAAUGACCAAAUCCUAAUUCAAAAUGGGAAGUGCAAAUAGCUAAGCCAAGUUAAAGGUAAAAGGCGCUGUCUGUAAAAGAUGCCAAAGGAUCUUUUACUUAUAAUCUCUUAACUUUACAUGAUGUUGUGUAAAUUUCAGUAUUUCUUUCAUGAUAGUGGAUUUGUAUUAGAGGAACAUUACAGCACUAGAAAACCCAAAUCUUGAGAACAAAAGCAGACUAUUGGACACUCAGUUCUAAUAGCUGGUUGCUAACUGAAAGCUUAUACUGUAAGUGCUUUUUAUUUUAUGUCAUUUUUCCUAAUUUCUGCUACUGCCACAGACACUUGACAUCUUUUGUUUGAACACAAAUGAUUCCAGCCUUCAUGAUGACACAACUUCCAUCUUUAUCAGUCCUUUCAGCAAGGCUGGGACAAGGAUAAAGAAGCCAUCAGGAAACCUAGAGAAUGCUUCGACAAUGAUCCAGCAAAGCACUUGCACAAGUGCUUGCCUUAAAACAUCUGAAUACUCCGAUUUGAGCCAAUGGACUACUUCAGUUGAGAUGUCUGGCUGUUUUCUACCUGGUGGAUGAAGGAGGAAAGAUCUGACCUUGCAAGUUGCCUGUGGCAGCAGAUUCCUGGACUCAUGUGGAGACACAACAUCAGCAGAAGUCUAUCCUGUUGAUUUACUGCAGAAAGCUCAUCAUCAUCAUAAAAUCUUCAAGACAAGAUUUGUGCUUUUUACUUUCUUUAAUAAAGAACCAAGCAUAUAAAUUGUUCAGAAUAAAUAAUAAUGUCAAUAACUGCAGAAAAUUUUUGUGAAAAAAAAAUCCUGCCUUUCCAUUUUUAAAAGUGUCACAGCUGGCACAAUGUUAGAGGUAGUAAAGUUUUGAUUGAACAUGCUAAUCUGAGCAGACCAUGUUCAGAAGAAAUAGAUUGUCUUUAUAUAUUGUUCUCUACUUUGUCUAGCAUUGUCUUUACCAUACAUUAAGCAAGCAUUCUCUUUUUCUCCUUAUCUCUUUAAUAUCACACAGACUGCUGAAAUAAAUCCCAAUAUUCUUCUAUUACAUCUAUUCUUGACAGAUUUCUUACUGUUUUCAGAAUGGUAAUGUAAUGUAAUGAAAAUUACAUGAGUCAUGAGAAACUGGGAGAGAAGAUAAAUGCAAAAUGAUGAAGUAAACAAAAAUGAGAAAAAGUAGGGAUGGGAAGUGGGGUUUUGGUUGGAGAUAUUAAAAAAUAUAUAUAUAAAAGUUCAAAAUUUAUCCAAAUAAGAUUCAAUAGAGUAGGUGACCUAAAGCCAUCAAGGGAGUUAUUCCUUCUUGUUCAUCUGUUCAUCUGUACAUGGAUUUGACAGCUAAAUAAAUCCUUAGCAAGCAGA